ACCAAGAAGACCUGCAUCGGUCACUAAUCAAGAUAACUUAGGAUACAGUGUUGACUGCAAGUGACUCCAGAACACGGAAAGCAUUUUAAAUGAAAUCUCAAGACACUAGUCCUCAUUCCGGUCGCCGUUCUGAGAUGGAGUCACGCAGUAGAAACACCAGUCGAAGGAGCAGUGUCAGUCAACGCACAGAAGCAAAAAAAGAGAGGGAGCCAAGCAGCACUCGUGCCAUUUUCCAAAGAGCCAACCGCUUCCUGUCCCG